UCCAAAACAAAAGAAUAUAAAAGCAGUUUUAGAGUGAACAAAAUCUGCUUUGUCCAUAACAGGUGAUUUUAUUUUACAACUAGAUCCUGUCUUGAGGCACUCAGCUGACCACCAAUCAGUUUUACAUUCGACUUCUCUCUGAUGCCCCUUUUUAUAGAACUAACUCGUGAAGGACUGCUUCCAGAAGUGCUCUGGCAUGCACGGCAGUCUCACUUCACGCAGAGUGGACUUUACGUCAUUCACUCCUGGCUGCUAGAACGUGUCCAUUUAUUCUUGCUGCUGAGCCGACUUCAUCUGACGGAGGAGCAGUAACCUGCUUGCAUCAUAAGUGGACAAGAUUCGAAGAAAAUAGGCGGAUAUUAAGGAAAGUGUUAAAGGGGAUGAUAAAGAAAGAGCAUUCAGGUGCUUACAGAGAAUGGGGCUGAACAUUAGGGUUGCACAAGACUGGAAUUGGAAAAUGCAGAGUUUGGGGAGGAGACUGUAGCAAGCUGCAGAGAAUGGGAGGAGUGAGGCCAUGAACAAUUUGACCAUUUGAAAAAUAAUUUUUAUUUCAAAGCCUCAAGGGACCAAGACCAAAAGUCAACUGGCUAUGACGAGUGUGAUAAAUAAGAUCUUGAUGUGAGUGAAUGCAACCCAUUCACACUACCAACUUCAGGGCCUUUCACUCGAAAUCGAAUGAUCCAGCGCUCCGCUGCAUCUGGAGAGCUGCCUUGUGGACAGGAUCAGAGACUCGAAAAGGACCAAGAAACGAGCUGACGGGUGGAAAGGCUUCCAUCUCGAAGAGUGAGGAAGACUGAGGCAUUAGGUGAACGUUGAGGGGGGACAGCGGUUGCUCCCAAUGGAGGCCACUGGGGCGACGACAGUCAACAGCCAGGUUGGUGGUAUUCGAAUCUGGAGUAGCUGUUGCUCUUCAUGGAAGGACUGAGUUUGUGUGGCUGCUCUCCUCGCAUGCUGAUGGAAAGAUGUUUCGAUAUUCUGAGAUUUAUGUGAUUAUUGGACUGUACUUUAUAAUAGUCUUCUUCAGUUUCUCAGUGUUUUCCUUCUUGUGGCACAUUGGCAGAUAAACAAAGAUUCCACACCAUGUGUUUGAGUCCAGCAAAUACGUUUUUAACUCCAAAUUCGAUCAAUCACAGAGAUGGAUAUUAUUGCAAGAGGCUGAGAUCACAAUCUCCUGUACCCUGUCUUCUCUGGAAAUUUGAUCGUGAGGACAGUAAAGACAUAGAAGUCCAUCUUGCUGAAGCGGAUGCUGGUUUGCAGGUCACUAAAGCAAAGUUGGACUUGAAAUGACUACAGAGCCCAGACUUGUCCUUCUCCACCAACCCUCCUCAUGCAAAGACCUUCCUGUUGAUCAGCUGGGCACCAAAAGGAGCCCGGACUCCUGAGGCCUCAAUCGACAAGGAGCAUUGUGAAGCCGGAAUGCUCACAGGUUUUAUAUUCAAAGCCUCAGAGUAGAGGAUCACUUCGCGAUCCCGUUGGCAUCAAGGGAAAGUGGAAGAAAGUAGCAGUCUCAAACACAGUAUUCAAGAUUCGAGAUUGUUUAAUGUCAUUUCCUGUACCCGCGUGUAAAGAAGAACAAAGUAACUGGUACUCUGGAUCUGGAUAUGGCACCAAAAAACAGAAAAGAUAAAGAACAUAAUAAUAAUAAUAACAAUGCCACAAUAAAUAUAAAUACAUAAGAUAACUUCCAUACAUAGAUUGAUUGUAUUUCCCUAA